UUAAAUUGAAGAGUUUGAUCAUGGCUCAGAUUGAACGCUGGCGGCAGGCCUAACACAUGCAAGUCGAACGGUAACAGGAAGCAGCUUGCUGUUUUGCUGACGAGUGGCGGACGGGUGAGUAAUGUCUGGGAAACUGCCUGAUGGAGGGGGAUAACUACUGGAAACGGUAGCUAAUACCGCAUAACGUCGCAAGACCAAAGAGGGGGACCUUAGGGCCUCUUGCCAUCGGAUGUGCCCAGAUGGGAUUAGCUAGUAGGUGGGGUAACGGCUCACCUAGGCGACGAUCCCUAGCUGGUCUGAGAGGAUGACCAGCCACACUGGAACUGAGACACGGUCCAGACUCCUACGGGAGGCAGCAGUGGGGAAUAUUGCACAAUGGGCGCAAGCCUGAUGCAGCCAUGCCGCGUGUAUGAAGAAGGCCUUCGGGUUGUAAAGUACUUUCAGCGGGGAGGAAGGGAGUAAAGUUAAUACCUUUGCUCAUUGACGUUACCCGCAGAAGAAGCACCGGCUAACUCCGUGCCAGCAGCCGC
rnacentral:rRNA from 1 species